GACUUGUACUCAUAAUGGCAUUCAAGGAACAAUAUCAGAGGGAGUAUAACAACUCCAGAAAGCAUAGCGCACAACAUAAUCUUGGUCUCAGGUACGUAUGAUCCUCUCAAUCUACGAUAUGGUGUGAAAGCCAUGAUGCUUCGUUGAGGGGAACUUCUUCUGUUUCCGAGCGAGGAGUGGUGUUGUCUUCCUUGGCUCCCCUCUUUGGACACAGCUUCACUCGGGAUGCGUGAAUCCAGAUGGCAUGGGAAUCUGUGAGGA
rnacentral:lncRNA from 1 species